UGAGGUCAACCUGGGACACACAGUGAGAUCCUGUCUCCAUGUCUUAGCCCCAAAGAAAGCACUAGGUGCCUGAGGUCUUCUGGGAAUCCCCAGUUCCGGAGGUUAAAGCUCCAGGAGGGAAGGUACGCCCAUGGGGUGCCCAGUACUAGACAUGGCCUCUGUGUUCCCAGAAUGUAUGUUAUGACAGGCUGUUUGCCCCUCUCUUCUGUGGUCACUCUCCGGAAGCCACUGCUCACAUUUUUAACUUUAAUAAUCAGAAAGGUAAUAUGAGUGCUCAAGACAUCCCUGGUGGAAGACACAGUCCCAGUGGAUAACCAUCAUUCCAGGAUGCUGGAGGCUCUGAGGCCUUACACUGGGAGCACCAUGCUCCUGUGCUCCAAGAGGUUGCUGGGUGUGAGCACCUCUGCCCAAACCGAAGCCCCCUCUCCUUUCUUAGGAGUCAGAUCUCUUCUCUUGUUACUUCCAGCCAGACAGUGGUGCCAAGAAAGUUCCAGGCUAUAAACUCCAAAGGCCUAUUUCUGUAUCCCGAUGACACAAAGACCCUCAGGUUAAAGUGGGACUGUGAGAAAUGAGGGCUCACUUUAAGCUGCCAAAAGCUGACUGACCUCUGGUCCGAUGCUAAUGGCAGGCAGAGCAGGAGUAGGCUGCAGUUCUUAGACUUGCCACCAGAUGGCGCCUCAACCCUGCACCAGGCACAGAUGCUUGGGAUCCAGCAUCCAGAGCAGACAGGCUAGGAAGAAAUUGCAGAGUCCACCAGGCUGAAACUUGUGCCAAGGAAGGGACAGAGCAGGCACAAAGCAUCCACCCCGACUUGGAUCUGUGGUUUCCACGAGGAGUAGCCAUGCGAUCACGAGGUUUGAGGAUGCGCCUUUCCCUACUGCUUAGCACAGUGAGAUCCUGUCUUCAUGUCUGACCCCCCGCAAAGACCCCUGCACAAGACUCUAGUAUAUGUGUGCCCUAUGAUGUGGUGCUGUCUUGGCUCCUCAUCCCAACAUGGUGCCAGUGACAGGAAGUUGACAGGCUGCAUGCUGUCGUCUGACCAUGAGACUCCUUCAGAGCCUCCAGAUAGCAAAUCGUCUGUCCGUGCUGUGGCCCUCGCCUCCUCUCUUGCCUCUGGGGGGCUUCUCUUUAUGCGUCCCUGUUUAAAGCUGGUUCUGUUGAGCAAGGCUGGCAAGUGGAUGAAAUGUAUCCCUGAGUCUGGAGCCUGUAGCCUCUCUUCCCUCAGCCAGCAAGAGUCAUGUGAGUGUAUGUGCCAGCCCAGUACCCACCACUGCUGCGGGCCGUCUCAGCAAUCCCACAGACUUUUCUUCCAUCCGCUAAGCACCCACUUCCUCACCUCCACUCAGUCCACCGGCCCUCUCUGAGAGGGAGCACUCCACCCAGUCCACCUGUCCUCUCUGAGUGGGAGCACCCCACCCAGUCCACCUGUCCUCUCUGAGUGGGAGCACCUCACCCAGUCCACCUGUCCUCUCUGAGAGGGAGCACCCCACCCAG
rnacentral:sRNA from 1 species